rnacentral:misc_RNA from 1 species
GUUUACCAGAAUAGAUGUGAUCUUGACAAAAUACACAAGCAAUUGUGCUCCUUGCAAUCUAGGUGAUGCUGUUGUUUCAUAAUUAACAUGGAGCUUGGUGUACCUAAAUGUUGAUGAUACAUCGAUGGCCUUUUUUGAUAGGCUUCAUCGAUGACCCUGGAUGCGUUGUAACCUGGAUGGAAUUGAUAAAGGGAGUCUCCGAAGAACAAGCUGUUGUUUGUGGAUUUGGAUCAGAGCUUCCUCUUGUAAACUCCAUGAUUGCAAAGUAUUCAAAAUGAGGUGAUUUGGACCAUUCAAGAACUCUGUUUAGUCAAACAAAUGAGAAGAGUUUAGUUUCAUGGACAGUAGUGGUUUCAGGAUAUGCGCAGAAUGGCAGCCAUGUGGAAGCAUUGGAUCUUGC